rnacentral:rRNA from 1 species
CCCUUAGAUGUCCUGGGCCGCACGCGCGCUACACUGAGUGUCUGAGAUACGAGUCUGCCUGGUCCGGCAAGCUCUAGGUAAUCGCUAAAAGACACAUCAUGCUUGGGAUAGAUUAUUGCAAAUAUUAAUCUUGAACGAGGAAUUCCUAGUAAGCGCAAGUCAACAGCUUGCGUUGAUUACGUCCCUGCCCUUUGUACACACCGCCCGUCGCUACUACUGAUUGGAUGUUUAAGCGAGGUUCUCGAACUGCUAGCGACUUAGCUUCGGUGAGGUCGCAGUGUGGGAAGUGAACCUAGCUUUGGUGUCUAGAGGAAGUAAAAGUCGUAACA